AUUGAACGCUGGCGGCAUGCUUUACACAUGCAAGUCGAACGGUAACAGGCCGCAUGGUGCUGACGAGUGGCGAACGGGUGAGUAAUGCAUCGGAACGUGCCCAGUCGUGGGGGAUAACUACUCGAAAGAGUAGCUAAUGCCGCAUCCGAUCUAUGGAUGAACGCGGGGGUCCGUAAGGCCUCGCGCGAUUGGAGGGGCCGAUGUCAGAUUAGGCAGUUGGUGGGGUAAAGGCUCACCAAGCCAACGAUCUGUAGCUGGUCUGAGAGGACAAGCAGCCACACUGGGACUGAGACACGGCCCAGACUCCUACGGGAGGCAGCAGUCGGGAAUUUUGGACAAUGGGCGCAAGCCUGAUCCAGCAAUGCCGCGUGAAGGAAGAAGGCCUUCGGGUUGUAAACUGCUGUUGUACGGAACGAAACGGCUCUGGUUAAUACCCGGGGCUAAUGACGGUACCGUAAGAAUAAGCACCGGCUAACUACGUG
rnacentral:rRNA from 1 species